rnacentral:lncRNA from 1 species
GUAAAUUGUAUUAGCAUUCACAAAAAAUCAGAGAGAAAAGCAGUAAAAAUAAAAUAAAAAAUAGUAAAUUAAAUAACAAAAAAUAAAAGAGGUAGAGUUAGAGAGAUGGCAUCAUAGAAUUAUACAGGUUUUGUCAAACAUUGUCUUAGUCUUGUCAUCGAGAAAUCUUCUUGAGAUUUCACUAUAAUAUUGAUAUUUUAUAACUUAUUCCCACAAACCCUUAAUAUAAUAAAAUUGAGAG